rnacentral:lncRNA from 1 species
CCAAAUCAUUGGAGCUGUUUUGGGAGUUUUCUUUGGCAAAGGGCCAUGCUGUACAUGCAGAGUCAAGUCUCUUUUCCCUUGUAUUUAUAUGAAGCAUCAGCAGAAAUGUGUCUGGUGAGAACCAGGUAUGGAGAUAUGUGGUUUUCUUGAUAAAAAAAUCAGUAAAUAGAAGUCCAGGGAUGGUAAAUAGAGCUAAAGGUCUGAGAGGUACAAUCUUCAUGGACUGCUCUGCAUUGAUAUUUCUGGGAUGAUGGCAGCUGGGAAUCAAUCUGGACCACUUGAUGUUAUCAGGAAGGGCGGCAUCACUGGAGCUCAUUGUAGUGAGUUAAGAUACUGGAUACACACACCCCGUGGAACAGUGGAGGAGAAGAGGAAGAGGAAGAACAAGAACAAGGAUGAGCAUUCCUCUAUCCUGAGAGAUGACUUCAGUUUGCCCCCCUGAGAAGCCCCAGAGGAAGGCUGAGCAGUGGCAGCACUGUGCUCCAGAGAGCAAUGGCAGAAGGUGGCUGCAGUCAGAGCAGCUGGCAGCACUGGUGUCUGUGGGACAGCAUGGUUUCACUUUACUCAGUAAAUCACUUUGAAAUUGCAGCUUAAGAUGCCCAACUCAUUUGUCAGAGCUGGGAGAGUUUGACACACAAGACUGGGCUGGGUGACCGGAGAUCUUGGCUGUAAUUCCUCGUCCUUCAUCUUAAUGCCUUCGUCGGGCCAUUUUUGAGGAGAUUAUGUUCCUGGCUGAUUUUGACAACUGCUUUGACACCUGCAGAUGAAUAUGAUUAUUGAUUUCAGUGCCAAGCCUGUUUUUCUAAAGAGUUAGCAAAACAACCAGGAGACAUGACUUAGUAGAGACAAAAAAUUGGUGAAAUUUUGCUUUUGAAGGAACCUAUUCUAUUCCAGAAUCUCUUCAUAUAUUGUGUUCACUUGGUUAUUUUAAAUUUCCUUUCCUAUAUUUCUUUUUUUUUUUCCUUGGAUAAAAUUAACCUUAAUUAUGAUUAUUUUAUCUAUAAAACUGUCUGUACCUGCCAAAUAUUAAAAUGUUAGCAUGGAAAUUUUACCAAGGAUGAAAUCCUGACUUGGUAAUAGCUGAUAAAAAUCAGUGGAAGAAUAAUGGAUGAUUAAGUGGAAGAAAACCACAGAUGUAAUAUUUCAUCAUUGCUUAGAAGAGAAAUUUGACACAUUAGUGCCAGUUUGGAAGUUUUUCAGUAAAAUAUAUGAAUGCAGAAUAAGAAGAAUACAAUUAUAUUACCCUUGCAAUACGUGGUUCAGUUUUUAAAAGGAUGAAAAUUUGCAGCACAGUUAUGAUGAGAAAUGUACUUCUUCUGGAGUGACCAAUAGCCCAGGGACUGGAUCACUUCUGUGGGAUGGCCCUGCACUGCCUGAUUGAGACAGACACUUGGAGUGCAGGUUCACAGCUAGUACUUAGCCUGGCACAUGUGAUAUUAAAU